rnacentral:misc_RNA from 1 species
GUGAAUCAUCGAAUCUUUGAACGCAAAUUGCACUUUCUGGUAUUCCGGAAAGUAUGCCUGUUUGAGGGUCAGUUAAAUAAUAAUCGGUGUUUUGGCUGCCGUUCGUGGUGCCGCGUCGGAAUUGGGUUGUCUUACCUUCGGUUAAGUGACUUAAAAUUUUGCAUGAUUUUCGAACGUAUUUAAAUUUCAUACGUACGUGUGAGAUAUCGAAUAAUUUGUUAGGUUCGGUCAUUU